rnacentral:lncRNA from 1 species
UGGCUGCUAAGUGACUAACAGUCAGGGAGCGUGUCCACAGCAUGGGUAUGCUGGACAAAGGGAGGAUUCACAUCUCAGGAAGGACAGUGAGAGGUUUCAUCACGCUAUUCAGAACAGUGUGCAAUUUAAAACUUAUGAAUUGCUUAUUUCUGGAAUUUUCCAUUUAAUAUUUUUGGACUACUGUUGAGGAGAGUGAACCUGUGGAUAAGGGGGACUACUGUACCUUUAAGUUUAUUCAUAUUUUUGGAACACAGUGUGGGAAUGAGAAGUAGGGAGUAGAAGAAGAUAGGUCUGGGGAGUAGGAAGAGGCCUUGUUUUCCAUGCUGAGCAGCUUGAACUUUGUUCUAGAAGUUUCUCAAAGUGAUGCCUAGAGUCCAACUGGAAAUAAAUAAAGUUUAACAAGCAAGCCUUUUUGAGAAUGACAGCAGUGGAUAAUAAGAAACCUGCACAGACUUGCAUUUUGAAAGACCACUCAAGACUUGCAGUGUCUGGAAAAAAACAGCUAGGUUGCUCAGAUCAAUCUUCCAGCUGAAAUCAAAGAAAAAUGAAAUGUUGUAGAAACAACAACUUAAGGCCAGGUGUGGUGGCUUAUACCUAUAAUCCCAGCACUUUGGGAGGCCAAGGAAGGGAGGAUUGUUUGAGGCCAGGAGUUCAAGACCAGCCUGGAUGACAUAGCAAGACCCCAUCUCUACCAGAAACCAGUAAGGGGGCAACUCAAAAAUACUGAAGAGCAGAAAAGAUAAGAGGAACUUCCCAGGCUAAUUUUUGGAUGAAAACCCAUAACCAGAAAGAGAGGCUGUGAUUCCUGGAAUGUUUAAUGUGGCGGUUGAUUGGACUUAUGCCUUUGGUCAGCAGCUCAAAGAAUGCUACAAUUCACUCUUCUACAAAGCAGACAUCCAGCCUUGAUACCCAACCCAGAACUCUGAAAGAAUGAAAAUUUGCCAUCUCUAGCAGGUGGAAUUAUCACCAGGCACUGAGAAGUGUACAGAAAGACUCCAACUGCCCGAGAUUCCCAGAGAAGCAGAACACACAGAGCCACGACGAGAACUCAGGAUGGAAUAAACUUCCAGGUCCAUGUGAGCUUCCAGGACCCAGCCCACAUCUGCCAACCCACCGUGUCCUCUGCUUCAUGUUUACCCUGCAUCCUUUUCACUGAUGCCUUCAAAUAUCCGUGUGUGCACGGGAACAGUGGUUAUGCUGCCAAUUUAAAGAACCAAGGCUUCAGAGGAAAGGAAACUCAUGCGUGCCCCCACCACCGACUCCCCGGUUCCUGCUGGUUAUUUGUAAAAGUUAUUCACAGGAGGAAGAGAAAGAGCCUUCGUGUGUGAUUCCCUGCUCACAUCACGGUGGGGUGAACCAAGGUUCUCUGUGCAGCUUCCUCCACCAUCUGUUCGCACUGCCUUCUAUCGGAGACUUGGCAGGGAAACACUCACUGUUUUUCAUCCCAACUCAAAGACAGUGAGAUUUUUCAUACCUGCACAGGAACCAUGCAAGUUGUGAUUGAAAAGAGCAUCAUGGGAUGCAAACAGAAAGAAAAGCGGUGAAGGCGCCAAGCUGCGGAUUCUAACAGCUUCCAGAACGCUUGGCCAUAAGUGGCCGUCAGACUGCGGAGUUCCAUUUCCUUCUUUUCUUUACAGGUUAAACUCUGUCAAAUUUGAUCCAACUCCAACCCAAACUUCUGUUGAAUGAAAUGAUUGUUUUCUAAGCUCCAGCUGGUAGCGAACUCAUUCUGAGACAUAUUCAGUAUAACUGAACCGCAGUGUAACAUAAGGGGGUGCCUUGGCCUGAAUUUUCCUUUCCUUCCUCUGGUUCUCAGUCCCCUUCUUCUCUUCCUCCCUUCCUUCUCACCUCUUUCUUUUCAGGGUUUUUUUUUUUUUUAAACCCUUUGUUAAGUUCACUUUUCAGGCCUCAUUUCUGCUUCAUUUUCUUUUUUUUUUUUUUUUUUGAGAUGGACUCUCACUCUGUCACCCAGGCUGUAGUGCAGUGGCACAAUCUCGGCUCACUGCAACCUCUGCCUCCCAGAUUCAAGCAAAUCUCCUGCCUCAGCCUCCUGAGUAGCUGGGAUGACAGGUAUGUGCCACCAUGCCCAGCUAAUUUUGUAUUUUUAGUAGAGAAGGGGUUUCACCACGUUGGCCAGGCUGGUCUCGAACUCCUGACCUCAGGUGAUCCACCCGCCUUAGCCACCACGUCCAGCCUUCUUCAUGUUCUAGACGUCUUUCACCCUUUCCUAUCUUCACCCUCACUUAUUUACACUUCACUCUUUUGCCUUUUGUUUCUCUCUUCUUUCUUCUGUCUUCUUGUCCCUUCUCAAUCUUAAUGUAGAGAGAAGCUACAAACUCAAAACCAGGUAAUGUUGAAAAUGUUACCAAACGGGACCACACAGCACUGACUCAUCAGAACAGACACUAGCGGUUGAACUGCAGCAAGGUCUAGAAGGUUUCCCGCUCUACCACUAACCAGUGGGUUGUGGGGAGGUCUGGGGGAAGCAGGCACCAGGCAGGGAGAUGAGAAAGCCCUCAGAAGGCUCAUGGCCAUGGCUAAAUACUACGCAGUACAGAAGUAUUUCUAUAUUUUAACAAUCAAUAUAGCUGUACAGAGUGUACCAAAUUGAGAACAAGAAAAACAGGUCCUAACAUCCCAGAAAUGGCCUGGUUCUGUCAGCCAGGACUUGGUGCUGCUAGGAGCUGGUGUUGGCACUCAUAGUCUUGUUGAACACAGACAAUUUCACAGAACCCCAAUAUCACGCCAGUCCACUCCACAACUGUAAUGAAUCAAAGCAAAAACAAGAACACUCCAUAAACAUGCCUGAGCAUGGACAAAAAUAUAAACAUUGUUCAACGCACAAAAAUGACCGGACAUCCCCCUGUUGUGCUAAUGAGUGACAGCUGCUGCUUUUUCCUUUUUUCUUUUCUUUUUUUUUUUUUUUUUUGAGACAGAGUUUCACUCUUGUUGCCUAGUCUAGGGUGCAAUGGCGCGAUCUCGGCUCACCACAACCUCCACCUCCCGGGUUCAAGCGAUUCUCCUGCCUCAGCCUCUCGAGUAGCUGUGAUUACAGGUAUGCGCCACCACGCCCGGCUAAUUUUGUAUUUUUAGUAGAGACAGGGUUUCUCCAUGUUGGUCAGGCUGGUCUCGAACUCCCGACCUCAGGUGAUCCGCCUGCCUCGGCCUCCCAAAGUGGUGGGAUUACAGAUGUGAGCCACCGCGCCCAGCCAGACAGCUGCUUCUUUACCAAUCAGAGCUCUGGCCUGAUUCCUUACUCCUACCUUAUAGAGGCCUGUUUAAGAUACCCAACAAUAAAAUCCCCCUGCUUCCUGAAAGCAUCCAGGUCUUAAACGCAUCUAAUCCUGAUUUUCCUUUUUAAAAAAAUUUUAUUUUAGAUUCAGGGGAUACAUGGGCAGGUUUAUUAUUUGGGUAUGUUGUGUGAUGCAGAGGUUUGAGCUUCUAAUGAUCCCAUCGCCAAGUAGGAACACAGUACCUCAUAGGUAGUUUUCAAUCCUUCCCUCCCUUCCUAUUUGAAAUCCCCAGUGUUCAUUGUUACCAUCUUUAUGUCCAUAUGUCAUGGACAAUGAUUAGCUCCUACUUAUAAGUGAGAACAUGUGGUAUUUGGUUUUCUGUUCCUGUGUUAAUUUGCUUAGGAUAAUGGCCUCCAGCUCCACCCAUGUUGCUGCAAAGGACAUGAUUUCAUUACUUUUUACAGCUGUGUAGUAUUCCAUGGUACACAUGUAUCACAUUUUCUUUAUUCAAACCAGCAUUGAUGGACAUCUGCAAUCCCAAAUUUUUUUUUUUUUUUUUUUUUUGAGACAGAGUCUCAGUCUGUCGCCCAGGCUGGAGUGCAGUGGCAUGAUCUCAGCUCACUGCAAGCUCUGCCUCCCAGGUUUACGCCAUUCUCCUGCCACAGCCUCCCAAGUGGCUGGGACUACAGGUGCCCACCACGCCCGGCUAUUUUUUUGUAUUUUUAGUAGAGAUCAGGUUUCACCGUGUUAGCCAGGAUGGUCUCCAUCUCCUGACCUUGUGAUCCAUCCGCCUCGGCCUCCCAAAGUGCUGCGAUUACAGGCGUGAGCCACUGCGCCCAGCCUAUAAUCCCAAUUUUUUUAACCCUCCCCCAAAUCACCAAACACAAGCCGAAACCUUCUAAUAGGUCUUUUGAAACAUCCUUCUGCUGAGGCUCCCCACAGUUCCCUAUGGUGUGGUCUCCCUCAUUGCAACCAGCAAUAAACUCAACUUGUUCAAACACAGGUGUGUGCCCAGUGGUCUUUGGCUGCAAGGUCAUUGAGGAAAUAUGAAUUCACACCCUGCCCAAAGCCUUAAGAUCCCUUUGAGGAGGGGAUUUGUGGCAAGGAGGACCUGAGCCUUCAAUGAGGACUGCUGAUUAAGUUUCCCUGUGAGGAAGAGAAAAGGGGGACCUGUUCC